GCGGGGAUUGCCAAGCCAGGUCAAAGAACAAGGCUGAUACUCCUGUCCCGUAGGGGUUCGUGGGUUCGAAUCCCACUCCCCGCACCA
rnacentral:tRNA from 1 species